GUCACUGUAGGCGUUCCUGCUGAUUCAAUUUGCGCCGGUGCCGUUCGGAGCAGUGUCGUGCGGUGAAAGUGGGUGAAAUAUUGAGGAAGUAGUGGGUCACAUGUGUCAUAAUACCUAAAUUUGGAAGAAAAUGGCCCAGUGUAGUGUCUAUGGCUGCUCGGAGAAUGGUGGGUUUGUAUUUUCUCGCGACAAGAGGCCGAGGAAGAUAGAUAUGGCUCAGGCUUGGCUCAGGCUGCAACGGAUUUCAUCCCACCAAACACUUGAUUGUGUGUCGGAAGCAUUUCACCGACGAUGAUUUUUUGGAAAAUACUGCCUACGGUACAAGAAUGGGCUCAACAGGCAGAGGAAAUGGAGAAGAGUGCACCACCUCCACCAAACGUUGCUGCUUAUGAAGAGUGCAACACUGAAGGGGGGUGUGCUGCACCACUGCGGGGCUAUCUGAUGGUGCUGUCAAUAUCAGCACCAGGCAGGGUUCAAUGUCCAAGAUCUGUUAGCCUGUUGUGAUGUACGUGUCAUAACACCAGCGUUCCUUAAAGUGAAGUCCCAGCUCUCU